rnacentral:rRNA from 1 species
GGACCCGACUGCUAUCAGAGUGAGAUUAAGCCAUGCGAGUUAACGUAGCAAUACGUGGCGCACGGCUCAGUAACACGUAGUCAACAUGCCCAGAGGACGCGGAUAACCUCGGGAAACUGAGUCUAAACCGCGAUAAGUGAGGAUUUCUGGAAUGGUUCCUGACUAAAAUCUAUAUGGCCUCUGGAUUGGACUGCGGCCGAUCAGGCUGUUGGUGAGGUAAUGGCCCACCAAACCUGUAACCGGUACGGGCUCUGAGAGGAGGAGCCCGGAGAUGGGCACUGAGACAAGGGCCCAGGCCCUAUGGGGCGCAGCAGGCGCGAAACCUCUGCAAUAGGCGAAAGCCUGACAGGGUUACUCUGAGUGACUUUCGCUAAGAAAGUCUUUUGGCACCUUUAAAAAGGGUGCAGAAUAAGGGGUGGGCAAGUCUGGUGUCAGCCGCCGCGGUAAUACCAGCACCCCGAGUGGUCGGGACGUUUAUUGGGCCUAAAGCAUCCGUAGCCGGUUCUACAAGUCUUCCGUUAAAUCCAGCUGCUUAACAGAUGGGCUGCGGAAGAUACUAUGGAGCUAGGAGGCGGGAGAGGCAAGCGGUACUCGGUGGGUAGGGGUAAAAUCCGUUGAUCCAUUGGAGACCACCAGUGGCGAAGGCGGCUUGCCAGAACGCGCUCGACGGUGAGGGAUGAAAGCUGGGGGAGCAAACCGGAUUAGAUACCCGGGUAGUCCCAGCUGUAAACGAUGCAGACUCGGUGAUGAGUUGGCUACAUGCCAUCUCAGUGCCGCAGGGAAGCCGUUAAGUUUGCCGCCUGGGGAGUACGGUCGCAAGACUGAAACUUAAAGGAAUUGGCGGGGGAGCUGCGCAAGGGGUGAAGCCUGCGGUUCAAUU